CUUCCCUCUGGCCUCUCAGAGCCUCUUGGAUCCCCACAGGGUAAUGGGUGUCCCCAUCUCACGGGGACUCUGUGAUCUGUGAUCCCCUGACCCUCCUAGAGCACAGCUUGGCCAGGCUCACCGGGCUCCCGCACCACUGCCUGUCAGGUCCGCCGCCAGCCCCAAGCCCCCCACCAGCCAUGAGCUCCUCCGGAAAGGACCACCUCGGCGCCAGCAGCUCAGAGCCCCUCCCAGUCAUCAUCGUGGGUAACGGCCCCUCUGGGAUCUGCCUGUCCUACCUGCUCUCCGGCUACACACCCUAUGUGAAGCCAGAUGCCAUCCACCCACACCCCCUGCUGCAGAGGAAGCUCACCGAGGCCCCGGGGGUCUCCAUCCU